CGGGUGAGUAACACGUGGAUAACCUACCUAUAAGACUGGGAUAACUUCGGGAAACCGGAGCUAAUACCGGAUAAUAUAUUGAACCGCAUGGUUCAAUAGUGAAAGACGGUUUUGCUGUCACUUAUAGAUGGAUCCGCGCCGCAUUAGCUAGUUGGUAAGGUAACGGCUUACCAAGGCAACGAUGCGUAGCCGACCUGAGAGGAUGAUCGGCCACACUGGAACUGAGACACGGUCCAGACUCCUACGGGAGGCAGCAGCU
rnacentral:rRNA from 1 species